GUUUACCCAUAAGUAGGUAGUUGAUUUACCUAUAUUUGGGUUUUGCAUGCGUUACUCAUAUUAUGGGUAAAAAUUACCAAGAAAAAUUGGUAAACUUUACUCAGAUUAUGAACAAAGUCAGUUUACUCAAAUAUGGGUAAUGUAUAGUUUACUCAUAUUUGGAUAAAAAUUAUAAAACCGAAUACGAAAACGUCGAACAAACAAAAGCGCGACUAAAUUUUAUAUUUUUUGCGGAAAAAAUCACGGUAAAGACGGUUCUGGAAGUUAUUUAUUUUGUUCAGUAAAGGCAAAGUUUUUGUUGACAGCCUCGGUCCGGCGAACUUCUGCCAGCGCUAUCGAUAUUCCCGGUGGCCAUCCCGGUGGUGGUAACACCGCCAAAUCCCGACAAAAAUUAGGAACAUGGGGUCUUCCACAGCACGAUAAACGAACUAUCGAAGGAAUACUUCCGUAACGAAAUCCUGCAGAGAGGAUAGUGUCAAACAUCGCUACGAACAAUAAGUGCUAUUUGAGAAACUUCCGGUUAUAAUCUGUGUGUAUAGGCGAUUCGUCGAACGGCCUGGGACGCUGCCUGAAACCAAUCAACCCGUUGUUUUUCGGCGAUGGCACCAUCAUCGGAACAAGCUGCGAUACUCUGCGAAUCACCGCAUAUUUAAUGUCCGGCGAGAAGAAUAUGAACUACCUCUGCUGCUUGGAAGCCUGCCCAUCUCCGAAAGCGAAAGGAACCCUUCGUGUCGCGCAGGAUUCUUAUGCCAAAGACACCCGACAACGUCGUUUUCCAACGCACCGGCAUCUAACACAAUGUAACCAGGGCGGAGCAUCAUCCGGAACAUCAACGGAUUUCUUCCGAGGAACACUGUCUGUAUGGAAGUUCUGUACAACUUUUCGAUUGUGUAUCUAUUCCGCCGCUGUUUUUCUUGAGGCAUCCAGGAUACAGAAACGACCACAUUUCAGGAACGCUUCUGCGCAGAGUUUUUGUAUGUUAUUCGAUUAACGAUCGAGGAAGUUAAUUCUCUAUCGUCACAAUAGAUCUAUCAACUGGUCGCAGUGACUUAGAUACCCAACAAGGAAUAAAAAAAAAUAAUUCUCUAUCGACGCCAAGCAAACAAACCAUGAAUGUGGAUGAUUGAUGUUCCGGACAUAAUGGGAAGUUUUAAGUUUUCGUUGGAUGCUGUGUACUCAGCUUCUUUGACAUCACCGGAGCAAAAUAAAUUGUGUGAUAUGUGUCUUUAUUAAAUAUGUUGUUUGUUUUUUUAGAAUGCCAUUUUAAAUAUUUGUGAGGAUCUCGGUGAGGAUUCCCAACAAAUUUCGCCUGAAGGAACAGCAAAAAAUUACUCAUAUUUGGGUACUUUCAUUUACCCAUAAUUCAGCAAAUGUCACUUACUCAAAUAUGGGUAAAGCCCCAUUACCCAUAAAAUGAGGUUGUGCACUUUUCGGCGAUUAUGGGUAAACUUUACUCAUAUUUGGGUAAACUGACCUUAGCGUGUAGGGUUUCCGUUUGAUCCCGGCAGAAAAUUGCAACCCAUCGCAAAGUUCUUUCUUCCUAGCGUUGACUUUCGAAGUACCCUAGUGGGUUGAAAUAAACCCACUUUUAGGUAAACGGCAAAAAACCCAAAUUUGGCUUCUCGCACGGACAUUAUCGGCUAUUAUUAUGCCUCUUAAGCACAGAUAACAGAUGUUUAUGCUAGUACAAAUUUUUCGCAGAAUCCUGUGUAAAUGUUCAAAACGAU